CUCGUCCGCCCCGUGGACGCUGCUGACCAGCAGGGCCCGCCCCGGUUACCCUGGCGGCGUGCGCCCCCGGGGAGAGUGCCACGGGUGGCGCAAAGCCGACAGCCGUCGCACUUCGAGGGAGCCCUUUUCAUG
rnacentral:sRNA from 1 species